rnacentral:lncRNA from 1 species
GCUGUUUAGAGCAACCUCUGAAGAGCUAAAUAUGGAUGCAAGAUAGAGAGCAGGUGGUGGACAGGAAAGAGAGUAUGAAUUACUCCAACAAGAAGUUGCCAGUCUGCAGCCCAGAAGAUGGUUCUCACCAGAUCCCGACCAUUUUGGAACCCUGAUCUCGGACUUCCCAGACUCCAGAAUUCAUAUGAAAUCUUCCAGAGAAAUGCCUGGACCCAGACAUCAGGAGUUCCUGCGAGAAUUCCAGGAGAACAUUUGCCUCUUCUGGACGCUUCCACUCUAAAGAAACAGAUGCAAUUUCUAUAUUAUCCUUUUGGCACUUAAAUAGGUAGGGAA